GAAAUAAGAGAAGUAAAAAAAAAAAGAAUCCUUGUUAAAAUUACUUGGUGUUAUCUUUCUCCAUUAUUUAAAUGGGUUUCUCUGCUCCAAGUUCAAAAAAAAGCCAGUUCUAGCCUCAGAGGGACCCCAUACGGUUGGCUGAGCAAAACUAUCCAAACCCCUCUUUGCUUUGAUUUAUGCAGAUGGCAAGGAUAUUGCUAUUGGCUCAUAGGAUGUGAACAGUGGUGUUGAGAUCACCCUCAUUUGACUGAUGAUGUCACUGAAGCCCAGAGAUGGAUGCAAGUCAAAUCCCCUACUGUCAAUAAAGCACUAUGAUGAAAGAAAAGAAUCUGCACCCUUAGUGAUUACUGCAUUUGCUUCAUUUAUUCAACAAAUAUCUAUUGAGUGUCUACUAUGUGCCGAGGAUACAGAGGAACAAGCCAGACCUGUCUCAUUCCAGUGGUGGAGUUGGAAUGAUGGAGUUGAUACAAUGACCACUACCUCCAAGAACUCAGUGCUGCUCCCCUGGAUAGAGACUGGAGCUAACCAAGGGGUUAGCAGAAGUCUGACUGUACUAUGGCUGAAAUAGCUACAUGUCUCCAUCUAGAGGAUGUAUUAAAACUGCUUCAUGGUUUCUUUGCUGGAUGGUACUGUGACAUUAACACCAUGUGUGUUAGAAGAUCAACGUGUUAUGACAUGCGCCACAUGACUUGCUUUGGCUAAUGAAGACAGAGUCGAAGGGAGAGAUGUUCCUUCUGAGCAGAAGGCUUAGGAGCAAGCAUGUGAGGAGCCACAUCCUCUUCCCACCUUAUUAGCUGUGGAGGGGCUCGGCCAGGCGGUGUCCCGAGUACCUCUGAUGAGCAGAGGCCUCAACGAAAGCUUGUUGGAAAUGUAAACAAGAAAUGAAGUUUUGUUGUGUUUUGCCCUGUGAUAUUGUAGUUAUUUGUUACCACAUUACAAUCUAGCCCAUUCUUACUAUAUAGCUGGCCUUUAUGGUUUCAAAGCGAAUAUUUGACUUAUGCUAUGCUCAAAAUUUUGUUUCCUGAUUUGGGUAACCAAUUUUCCACAUUCUUAGCCCAGAUUCAUAUUGACAGUAAAUAUCUUCACGUCUGGAUUGCUAAAACAUCAAAGCAUGCUUUAAUAAACAGGAACAAAAAGCUUGAAAAGACAUGGAAUGCUUUUAAGUAUUCUGUAAGAUGGAGUAUUAAUAUAUCACCUUUAGGGUUUUUGUCAUAGCCUUUUAUCACUUGCCAAUUUACUUAACAUUUUCUUUAGUAGACUUAUUUUAUUAAGGUUAUUUUGAGAGGAAUGUUUGUAUCGCUAGUGUACAGGUUGAGUAUCCCUUAUCCAAAAUGCUUGGGACCAGAAAUAUUUACACUUUCUGACUUUUUUGGAUUUUGGAAUAUUUGCAUUAUAUACUAUAGUUGAGAAUCCCUGCUCUGAAGAUCUGAAAUCUGAAAUGCUCCAGUGAGCAUUUCCUCUGAGUGUUGUGUCAGCACUAAAGAACUUGAAUUUUGGAGCAUUUUAGAUUUCGGACUAGGGAUACUCAACCAUUAUAUGUAAACUUAAAUCACUCAGGUAAAAUAAACGGUGAGUGAUUUAAGUUACAUAAAAUAAAUAACUUAUAUAUAGAAAAAAAUAAAUAUAAUAAUAAUAAGAUAAUACUGUUAAAUUUAAGUUAGAAAUCCCUGGAAUCUCACUCAGGGGUUUUUCCUCUUUGCUAAAAAAGAGAUGUUAGGAAGUGUUGGCUAAGUCUUACAAGGUGUAAAGCCAUGUAUCAUUAAAAAUACAAGAAAUGCUAUAUGAAAUAGCAUACCCCAAAACUAAUAAUACAUUUCCAAGCUUAAAAAAAAUAAGAUUAAGUCCGCAGGUGCCAGAAAUAAAGAGUUAUUAUAGAAGGCUGAUAAAAAGCUAGCACACAGGGUUCUUGCACUGGACACAGGGCUUAGGGUAUCACAGCACGAGGGACCUCCUGGUGAUGUAAGAAAGGCCUAGACCUGAACUUCUAUACAGGGCUCUGGACCUUCAGGAACUUUCCCCUUAACAAAAAGGGGAUGGAAAAAAAAAAACCUCUCUCCUCUGGCCUUGGAAAGCAUAGUCUACUUGAAUCUUGGGUAGAAAAUAAAAAGCAACCAGUAGGAGCUGGAGACACUAGUUGUGGACUGCUCAUGUCUCAAUUUAUAUUACCUGAAUGAUGUAGAAAGGAAUCAAGAAAUUAAGAUGAAAAUUCAUCUAGGAUCACUGAACACCUAGGACCCUAGGGUUCCAAAAGAAUCAUAUGUGGGCCAGGCGCGGUG